GUAAGUUUUAAGGAUUUUGAUUUCUUGGGUUGAACAGGCAGCAACAACAGGUAAAGUGCUUGCCAAAGCAAUUAAAAUACAUGGAUGAUUAAAGGCUGUUGGUGGCUGAAUCAAUGUCUCUCAUCCUAAACAUGGCAGUAAUAAAGUGACAACAAACUGCCAAACCCUGGAUAGAGUUGACAUCCAAUUUUUUUUAAAUAGAAAAAUGGGUACAGUGCAAGUUGAAAAUGAUUUUUAUUUAUACCAGGUUGCAAAUAUCUAAAUGGAAAUUGGCAGCAUUAGAUAAAUAAUAAUCAUUGUCACUAAGGCACUACUGCAAGUACACUAGAAAAUGGAGAACUGUGUAAAGACUGGAAUAAUCCAACUACUCUAACAAAUUACUUAGCUAGGAAGUUCUGGACUUAAACUGGCGGGUGCUUAUAUGGUUUUCUAUUAUAUAUGAUUUUAAAUAGCAUUUAAACUCUGCUUUUAAAAUGGAUUAACAUUUCUAGGCCUUCAUUUCAAGGUGAUGAACUGAGAACAGGUUUUGGUCUCCUACUUUGUAUCAUUCAGGGAUCAUCAAGAAAACAAAUCAUUCUGCCUUUUUAAUAAAAGGAAUUUAAUACAGGACAUCGGUUACCACAUGAUGGAAAUGCAAAGAAGGAAAACAGGAGAAAGAGAAAUAAAAGAUAUAAAACAGCAGAGAGCCACUAUUUCUACACUCUGGUGAUAGAACUCAGGAGGUAGAGCCAUCCAGCUAUGGUCCCAACCCUCGCCUGGGACCCUAAAAGGAGGCAGUGAGUGGGUGCUGAUGUCACAGAGGAAACAAAGCCGUUGCUCAAAAUGCCAAAAGAAGCAGAGAGGAGGGAGGGAAAUAAUCUGGCUUUUCCCCUUCUCCAAUCUUGUAAUCUUUGCCAGUGCCUGUUAUUUGCAAAGUGGCCCAGAAGUAGACAGGGAACCCAGAAACCGAAGUUCCCUGAAAUAUGAAGCAGAGAGGUGAUAAAAGAUCAAAUUGACAGUCAAUCCUUCAUUAUCUCUAAAAAUACACGUACAACAUGCCUACAUAUGUCACUGCUCUUGAAAAUAAGACAUCAAACUCAGAAGACCAAAAUUUGUGAUGAAUUCAUGAACACUGGAAAGCAGACGGGAUGAAACGGAACAGAGAAAUU
rnacentral:lncRNA from 10 species